UACGGAGGGUGCAAGCGUUAUCCGGAUUUACUGGGUUUAAAGGGUGUGUAGGCGGGUCUUUAAGUCAGUGGUGAAAUCUCCGAGCUUAACUUGGAAACUGCCAUUGAUACUAUUGAUCUUGAAUUCUGUUGAGGUAGGCGGAAUAAGUCAUGUAGCGGUGAAAUGCAUAGAUAUGACUUAGAACACCAAUUGCGAAGGCAGCUUACUAAACAGACAUUGACGCUGAGGCACGAAAGCGUGGGGAUCAAACAGG
rnacentral:rRNA from 1 species